rnacentral:lncRNA from 1 species
AUGUGGGACAGCAGCUCCCAGCAUGCCUUGCUACCUACCCUAGAGCUGGGCUACCUCUCCCAGCAUGCCCUGCUGCCCCUUCUAGAGCUGCUGGAGCUGGACUACAUCUCCCAGCAUGCCUUGCUGCCUGUCCUAGAGCUGGCCUACAUCCCCCAGCAUGCCCUGGCGUGUGUUCUAGAGCCACCAGGACCCGGACUACAUCUCCCAGCAUGCCUUGCUGCUCAUCCCAGAGCCACCAGGAGCUGGGCCAGAUCUCCCAGCGUGCCUUGUUCCCCCUCCGUUUGGGGCUGGAUAUCUCCCAGCAUGCCCUGCUGUGUGUUCUGGAGCUGCUGGAGCUGGACUACAUCUCCCAGCAUGCCUCGCUGUGCCUCCCGGAGCCACCAGGAGCUGAACUACAUCUCCCAGCAUGCCUCACUGCCCCUUCUAGAGCUGGACAGCUCCCAGCAUGCCCUGCUGUGUGUUCUAGAGCCACUGGAGCCGGACUACAUGUCCCAGCAUGCCCCGCUGCGUGUUCUAGAGCCGCUGGAGCCGGACUACAUGUCCCAGUGUGCCUUACUGCCCCUUCCAGAGCUGCCCUAGCCUCCCGGUUUGCCUCGCUGCCGCUUCCAGAGCCG